GGACAACCUACCCAAAGGUCUGGGAUAACUCCGGGAAACUGGGGAUAAUACCGGAUAGGUCAAGAGUACUGGAAGGGUUUUUUGAUUGAAAGCUCUGGCGCCUUUGGAUGGGUCUGCGGCUGAUUAGGUUGACGCCGGUGUAAAGUACCGGCGUGCCGAUUAUCAGUACGGGUUGUGGGAGCAAGAGCCCGGAGAUGGAUUCUGAGACACGAAUCCAGGCCCUACGGGGCGCAGCAGGCGCGAAAACUCUACAAUGCAGGCAACUGCGAUAGGGGAACAUCGAGUGGCAUCUACAUUAGGUGUCUGUCCAGCUGUCUAAAAAACGGCUGUUAGCAAGGGCCGGGCAAGACCGGUGCCAGCCGCCGCGGUAAUACCGGCGGCUCGAGUGGUGGCCGAUAUUAUUGAGUCUAAAGGGUCCGUAGCCGGCUUUGCAAGUCUUGUGGGAAAUCCAGCGGCUUAACCGUUGGGCGUCUGCGGGAUACUACAUUGCUUGGGACUGGGAGAGGUAGGAGGUACUCAGGGGGUAGGAGUGAAAUCCUGUAAUCCUCUGGGGACCACCGGUGGCGAAGGCGUCCUACCAGAACAGGUCCGACGGUGAGGGACGAAAGCUAGGGGCACGAACCGGAUUAGAUACCCGGGUAGUCCUAGCCGUAAACGAUGCCCGCUAGGUGUCACGGCAGUCGUGAACUGCCGUGGUGCCGUAGGGAAGCCGUGAAGCGGGCCACUUGGGAAGUACGACCGCAAGGUUGAAACUUAA
rnacentral:rRNA from 1 species